GGGGUCUCUAGUAACCCACCUGGUCUGACACUGAGGAAACACCUACAGGCUGCUGAUCCCACAGUGAGGGGUGUGUGCCACCUGGGGUAUGGGCGCUUGUGAGUGAGAGUCCCUGCUGAUCCCACAGUGAGGGGUGUUUCCUGCCUGGGGUAUGGGAACUUGUGAGUGGGGACCCCUGCUGCACUCUGUCCCUGUUGGUGCUCGCAGCUAUGGGUGUGGGCUGGCACAGACAGGACUGAGCCCUCCAGGGGCUUCCAGGGUUCUUGUAGGGCAGGAGGGGAAGGGUGUGGUGGGGGGCUUGGAGGGGUCUUGCCCUCAUCCCCUGCCCUGUUACUGGGGUGAGUCCAGCACCUGCCCUGGGGCCCAGCUGGCCUGUUUUUAGAAGCUUCUUAGAGAAGGAAGAGGAGAAGGAGGAAGGCCUGGGGAGCAGGGAUGGAGGGUCCUGGGCACUCCCCACUAUUUACUGUCUUAGAUGGUGACUCAGGAGGGGACCUGGUGCUGGAGACCACCUUGGGGUCAGUGGUCAUAGUGCAUCUUUCUGAGCUCAGCCAUGGAGGCCUCAAAGUGCUUCACAACCACAUCAUCGUCCAUAGCCCAGGUAUGGGACAGUGCAUCUUAGGAAAGCUCCCACAGGACAAACAGGAGAGCUUCAGGAGAGGGUCUAGGUUUGGGGCUGGGCAUCAGGCCAGGAGGGGUCUCCUGGGAGGGGUCUGUGACUUCACCUUAUUUCCUCCAUGGGCACCUCACACUAGGCAGUGCUGGGUCCUUUCUAGAUACCCCUGGGGUCCAGCUCUGCACAGGAGGCCACUAAUGGGGGAAGGUCCAGUCAGGGAAGAGCUUGCCACACUCCUGUCUUUCAUCUGAGUUGUGUCAGGGGUGGGUUCGGUUUCCAGGAGGACUCAUGGUGCCCUGUCCAGUCCACCAGGCCUGGCUUGGUUUGGCCGUCCCUCUGGGUUAAAGCAGAGGGUCCUGUGGACAGUGUGAGCACUGCCUUCGGGCCAGGUUUGGUGUGCUUGUGUGCUUCCCCAGCACCCUUGGGCACAUGGGGACAGGGUUCUGUGCACUUUCAAUGCCGCAUGUGCCCUGGCUAUGAGCAUGAGCUUGCCCUGCAGAAGGCAGAUGUACCAGAGCCUGAGGAUGAGCUUGUGAUGAGCUCGAAGUAGGGGUUUGUGGGAACAGCAGGCAUGGGAGGACCUGGCCCUUCACGGUGGAGGGCUGGUGGCCUGAGCAGGGCCUACUGGGGCCUCAGUCUGUGGUGCUGGGGGCCCCCUCUGCAUGGGAUGAGACCUCCCCCAGGAGGCUGCAUCAGAUAAGGUCCUGCAGCUCCUUAUGGGGGUGUUCUCAUCUCCAUCAAAUGUGACCCCUGAAAGAGGGGGCUCCCUGAGUGCUCUCCCAAGAUGAGUCCUGGCCCAGUCUGCCCAGGAUGCUGGCCCUGAGUCCCAGCCCCAGCCGUGUGAUGCCCCCUCUCAGGCAGGGCAUGGUUUGUGUGCCCUGCAGGGAUCUGCCUCUGCCUCCUGUGCAGAGGAGGGGAGCUGGGUCCUUCUGGAGGAGACAGACUCCUGGGCAGGGUCCCUGGACUGGGUCUCCUGUGCACACUUGUCCCAUCAAGCAAGCACUGUAGGAGUCAGUUUAAGGUGGCAAUCUGGGUGCACAACAUUUGCUUGUCUUCAAGGAAGGAGCAGAGGUGUUCAGAAUCCCCUGGACUGCCCUGAAAACCUCACUCUUCCAGGCCCCUCUGCAGACCCUUCCCAAGGCCAGAUCUCUAGGCAGUAGGCUGGGCUGUCACCCUCUUCUCUGAGACCCUACCCCUGUCCUGAGACCUCCCCACUGCCCCUCAGAUGACCCAUCCCUCCGGAUUGCCCGCCUCCCCUGGCACCCUCCAUGCCCCACACGCCUUACUUGAUGCUGCAGCGCUCUCUGAACAUGGCAUGGCUUGUGAAGGUUUGGCUCACAUCUAGGUCAUUCUGGUGCAUGUUCAGAGGACAUCUUGGCCUGCUCCAUUUUCUAUAGAGCAGGGCCAAGCCUCAGAACAGACACAAGAGUCACUGUCAAAACUGCUGUCAUAAAACAGACAUUCUGGAAGGGAAGGAGUCUUUUUCUGCAGAUACUUCAUUUCCAAAGCCAGGAAAGUCAUCAGCACACAGCUCACCUGUGUUGCCCAUGCCACUGUCUGCCCAGGAUGUGUGACUGACCCCUUCCGCCCCUUUGGGGUUGACUUUCCCUCCAUCUGGGUAGCUGGGCUUCUGACACAGUCUGGCCUAUGCAUCCUGCUCUAGCUGGGAGUGGAAGGGCCAGACCUGGUGUUUCCCUGGGUUCUUGGCCUUUGUCUUCUCGACAUUCAGUAGGAGUGACCGUGCUGGGCCCCAGACCUCUGUGAGGAUUCCUUUUUAGACCCAAUGAGACAUUUGUGGACAGAAGAUGCUCUGGUGAGACAGACCUCAGGGUGACUCUAAGGGGGAUCUGAGCCUAAGGAUUCUGGAAGUUUCCAGUCUUUGGCUCCACAGUUCCUCAGGAGAGGUUCAGUCUGCCUAGGACUGGGCCUCCCUUUUCACGAAGAGUGGGCAAGAGCUCAGGUUGUGAACUCUGAUCUGGAUUUAUUCCUUCCUAUGGGAUGUCCAGAAGGUGUUCCUGUUCCUGGCUUAGAAGCAGACCAUGCCAAGGCAUCAGAUUCCUCCCAGCAAGGUGAUGCUUGCAGGGAUGGGCAGGAGGGCUAGGGACCAGGCCUGUUGUCCUUUCAGUGAGGAAAGUGUGUCCUGCCCUGUCUGAGAGGCAGGCAGCACCAGGAGGGAAAAAUGGGCUCCUGUCCUAAACCCUGAAGAGCAGUCAUGGGGGACCCUCACUCACAGCUGUGCCUUCUUGCUGUUCCUAGAUUUAUUCCAGUUAAGCAUUUAUAGGCAUUUAUCUGUGUGUCUGAUGCCCUGACGUUUUUGCUGUAGGUAAGAAGUGAUAGAGUGAGCUGAGCUGCCAGGCUUCCUGGAGGGAUUCUUGGAUGCUGGGUCUUGUGGUUAGGGGCCCUGAUGGGACUGAACUGGAAGGAACCAGAAUAGGACAGAACCAAGCCCCUGAUUAGUGGGCACUGGUGGCCUGGCCUCAUGACCAUAGGACACACUGUUCCCAGGGCACAGACACCCUGGGCUUUGGUUGGGUCUUGGCCUCCAGGUAGGGCCCUGUUGGGCAGCGGGCAGCAACUCCUGAGACACUACUGUGAUUCUUGGUGGUGGCUGUGGUAAAAAACCUGCAGGGCUAGAGUUUGGGGUGAGAUUCAGCAGUAACUGUGGCCUCUCCUAGUGACAGUAUGUCACUCCCACUCCCAGCACGCAUGCCCACAGGCCACGGCCUCCACAUCACAAACCCCCCACCAAGUUGCCCAUCUAUGGAGCAGCUCCCAUACGGCAGGGUCAGGCUCUUACCUCCACCUCCAGGGCACAGACAGGGGGAGCUCUGUCUCACUGUAAGGCAAUGAGGAGAGUUGAGGGCCCAGACCAGGCUAGGGGCCAUCCCCUUUCCCGAGCAGGCCUCAGGGAAGGACCAGCCCCAUCCCCAUCUGACCCAGGUCUUAGCCCAGGAGCCUGCAUAGGGAAGAAAGGACAGACAGGGCCUCGUUACUGGCUGACACUCAGGAGGGGCUGGGGCAAGAGAGCAGAGGGAGCGCAGGGCCAGGCAGGGGCUGCUGAGGAUCCAUGGGGGCUCAGGGUGCACAAGGGGGCUGCCCUUCCUGGGCUGCAGGCAGCAUCCCCUAUGGGAGCUGAGAAGGUCCAAUCCUGAGAUGGGACAGUGCUGCCCAGGGGUGUGUGGCUGGGCCCUGACAACAGUCUCCCCAAAAGUGACCACAUCACCAGGCUCAGUUCCAGGAAGGCUGAGAAGUGCCCAGUACACUGAGGAUGCACCUCAGUUACAUAAAAUAAAUGAAACUGGAGUACUAAAGUACAGUUUAAAGGUUAUAGUUACUAUUUUUAUAUGAUAUACUAGUAAUUUUUGAAUAGGGUAAACUUUAGGUGUUUUGACACCAAAAGAAAACUACAUGAGUUCAUGCAUGUGUUAAAUUGCUUUACUGUAGUAAUCAUUUACAUGUAUACGUAUAUAUGAAUAUAAUUAUGGGCUCAUUAAAUUUAAAUAUUAUAAAUAGGUAACAAAGAAUAAAGUUAAUUGGAAAACUGUG
rnacentral:lncRNA from 1 species